CACCUUUUUCUUCUCAACAAUCAAAGAUCAAAUUGCCACAAAGACAGUUACUAGGAAGUUGAGGCGAAGGAUAUGGAACCUAAUUAGUACAUUUGAUUGACUGAAAGACUUCUAGAAUACCCAUACAUGUCCAGUGGCUUCUCAUCUCAGAGGGAAACCAGUGUUGGAUUAGGGAACUAGGGAAACGGAUUGCCUUUUGGAGCUGCAAGAGGACUGUUAAACCUUCAUGAGCAGUGUGACCUGAAAGUUAUCCACAGGGAUGUGAAGGCAUCAAAUGUACUUGAUGACUACUGUGAAGCCGUAGUCGGAGAUUUUGAUUUGGCAAAGCUUUUGGAUCACCAAGAUUCACAUGUCACCACUGCAGU